CUUCAGUUAGUCUAGUGGUAAAGGCUAUGGAUCGCCAAUUCGGAGACGGCGGGUUCGAUUCCCGUUCUGAUCG
rfam:Aedes albopictus isolate Foshan contig35839, whole genome shotgun sequence.